rnacentral:rRNA from 1 species
GAUGAACGCUGGCGGCGUGCCUAAUACAUGCAAGUCGAGCGAACGGACGAGAAGCUUGCUUCUCUGAUGUUAGCGGCGGACGGGUGAGUAACACGUGGAUAACCUCCCUAUAAGACUGGGAUAACUUCGGGAAACCGGAGCUAAUACCGGAUAAUAUUUUGAACCGCAUGGUUCAAAAGUGAAAGACGGUCUUGCUGCCACUUAUAGAUGCAUCCGCGCUGCAUUAGCGAGUUGGUAAGGUAACGGCUUACCAAGGCAACGAUGCAUAGCCGACCUGAGAGGGUGAUCGGCCACACUGGAACUGAGACACGGUCCAGACUCCUAAGGGAGGCAGCAGUAGGGAAUCGUCCGCAGUGGGCGAAAGCCUGACGGAGCAACGCCGCGUGAGUGAUGAAGGUCUUCGGAUCGUAAAACUCUGUUAUUAGGGAAGAACAUAUGUGUAAGUAACUGUGCACAUCUUGACGGUACCUAAUCAGAAAGCUACGGCUAACUACGUG